GAAGCAUGUUUCAAACAAAUGAUUAUAAUUUCUCCUCUUUUCAAGAGUGGUGCUGGAAGCAGUUCAAUGUGAAACCAAGGCCUACAUGGAUAACAACAGAGUUUGGUGGACAUUUGGCUACUAUUUGGUUGGAGCGCAAGGAUUCCCUAGCUGGAGCAGUACUUUUGGCCUUAAGGCAACAUUGUUAUGGAGAAAUUUGAGAGGAGGGGCAUGAAGUAACAAACCAAGUAGGGGAACAUAUCACCUCAAGUACGAUUCCGGAUUACUCGCAGCAGCCCCCUAUUUAGGAACUAAUUGGAAGGGAUCUUCAUGAUAUAUAAUGAAUGGAAAUUCAGACAUAUUUCGAGGAGGCUUGCAACAACACUAGAGUAAUUGGUACAUGAAGUAGAUCGAGGAAGAUCCCUGCAAAGUUCAUCUUGAAGUAGAGGAAAAAAACUAACUUGUAAAG